rnacentral:rRNA from 1 species
UACAGAGGUCUCAAGCGUUGUUCGGAUUCAUUGGGCGUAAAGGGUGCGUAGGUGGCGCCGUAAGUCGGGUGUGAAAUUUCGGAGCUUAACUCCGAAACUGCCAUUCGAUACUGACGGUGCUUGAGGACUGGAGAGGAGACUGGAAUUCAUGGUGUAGCAGUGAAAUGCGUAGAGAUCAUGAGGAAGACCAGUGGCGAAGGCGGGUCAUCUGGACAGU